rnacentral:rRNA from 1 species
AGAGUUUGAUCCUGGCUCAGGACGAACGCUGGCGGCGUGCCUAAUACAUGCAAGUCGAGCGGACCCUUCGGGGUUAGCGGCGGACGGGUGAGUAACACGUAGGCAACCUGCCUGCAAGACUGGGAUAACCUCCGGAAACGGAAGCUAAGACCGGAUAGAUUGUAUUCUCGCAUGAGAAGACAUGGAAACACGGGGUAACC